AUUGAACGCUGGCGGCAGGCCUAACACAUGCAAGUCGAGCGAGCGGCGGACGGGUGAGUAAUGUAUGGGGACUGCCCGAUAGAGGGGGAUCACUACUGGAAACGGUAGCUAAUACCGCAUACUAUCGGAUAACCCAUAUGGGACUAGCUAGUAGGUGGGGUAAUGGCUCACUUAGGCGACGUUCCCUAGCUGGGCUGAGAGGAUGAUCAGCCAAAUUGGAACUGAGAAACGGCCCAGACUCCUACGGAGGCAGCAGUGGGGAAUAUUGCACAAUGGGCGAAAGCUUGAUGCAGCCAUGCCGCGUGUAUGAAGAAGGCCCUAGGAUUGUAAAGUACUUUCAGUCGGGAGGCGUUACCGACAGAAGAAGCACCGGCUAACUCCGUGCCAGAAGCCGCGGUAAUUC
rnacentral:rRNA from 1 species